UUCGUCACACUAUCAUUAACUGAAUCCAUAGGUUAAUGAGGCGAACCGGGGGAACUGAAACAUCUAAGUACCCCGAGGAAAAGAAAUCAACCGAGAUUCCCCCAGUAGCGGCGAGCGAACGGGGAGCAGCCCAGAGCCUGAAUCAGUGUGUGUGUUAGUGGAAGCGUCUGGAAAGGCGCGCGAUACAGGGUGACAGCCCCGUACACAAAAAUGCACAUACUGUGAGCUCGAUGAGUAGGGCGGGACACGUGGUAUCCUGUCUGAAUAUGGGGGGACCAUCCUCCAAGGCUAAAUACUCCUGACUGACCGAUAGUGAACCAGUACCGUGAGGGAAAGGCGAAAAGAACCCCGGCGAGGGGAGUGAAAAAGAACCUGAAACCGUGUACGUACAAGCAGUGGGAGCACAGAGCAAUC
rnacentral:rRNA from 1 species